rnacentral:misc_RNA from 1 species
AUAACUGAUUUUUUUUUUUUUUUUGUUAAUAAGAGAUUAAGAAAAUGAAGAUUGGAACCUGACAACAAGAACAAGCCAGGCUUAUAUCUGGACUCACCCAGAUAUAAAAUUAGGAUAUAAAAGCCAAUACUAAUUUCCUAGUCAAUAGAAGGAUAAACGAAAAACGAAAAGAAAACCCAACUUGCAAAACCCAUACUAGCCACUCAGAUCAGAUAUCAUCAUAACAUCAAUGAGAGCCCUGCCAUCUCUAUCACGGCUCCCGUCACCACCGCAGCCGCCUCAACCACCACCACCAAAUUGAUCUCCAUCAUUAUUAUUCAUGUCCAUGCAGUGAAGCCAUUGCUACAACUGCCAGCUUUUGAAGAUUCAACUUGACAACAGUAUCCACAAACAUCUUUGUAUCCUCCCCAGUAUUCCCUUCUGGUAUAUCCACUAUAUAAGACUCCAAAACAAUUGUGUAAACCUUCCCUUCUUUGCUGAACUCAUUAACAGAUGUGACAGACCGAUAAUUAUUUAGCCUAUGCUCACCCCCAACCACCCUAAAGCUUAAUAUAUGCUUCUCAUCAUCCAAAAUCUCUAGCCUUUCGGUGCUCGUAGAAGCUGGUAGCCCAGAAACUACAGUAACCUCUCUAAUGCUGCCUAUACCACCAGUGCCUUUCAUGUUGCAACUCUUGAUGAAGUGCUUGUAUUUUUGUGGGUUUUCAAAGCUGCGAACGAAAGGCCACACAGCUUGAGCUGGUGCUCCAAUGAGUUGCGUUAUUAGAGAAGUGCAUGUGUUGGGUGCCGCCUCAAAUUUGUGGUAUGUGUCUAUUAAAGGCUUCAGCUCUGCAUAUUCUUCUUGGGUCAGGCCUUGAGGUGGUGGGGAUUGGCUAGGUUCCAUGAAGGACGAUGAGCACUUAGGGUAUGCUUUGAGCAAAUUCAACAAGCAAGAAUAUGGAGGCGAUGGAGAAGAAGAGGAAAAGAAAUGAAGAAAAUUGGGUUCAUUUCAUUGAGGAAAAAAGAUAAGAUAGCUAGGUAAAGAGCAAAUUAAUAAUGUGAACAUGGGGUAGGGAUUAUUUACAUUUAAUAUUGAGUUUUUUGACAGGUAUGCCCUUGUAAUAUUAAUUUUUUUAACAGACAUGUGAGUUCCUUACCUUGAAAAUGUGUUUAACUUGUAAUGUGAGAGAAUUAAAUAAGUGAAUAAGAUA